GACAAGUACAACAACUAUGCGGCGCGAGAAUUUGUUUACGUGCGCAGGCGCAGCCGCUGUCGACGUUGCUGCUUCUGCUGCAGUCGCAGUCGCUGCCUCUGCCGACGUCAACGUCGGCACUUGUCCGCCGCUUUUAUUAUUGUUAUUGUUGUUAGUGCUGGUGGCGCAGUACUCGUUUGUUGCCAAAGUUAAUUGUUUUCUGCCGCAGCUGCACAGUGGAACAUCGAAAAGAGCGGGGCAGCACAGUGGGCACUCGAAUGGAAUGUGGCAAGGCCUCAAACUGGUUUUCAGUUUUUAGGGGCUCAGGUGCGACGAUGCCGCGAUUGAGACUUCAACUCUGGAGCAGGAAUUCCGCUGGCAUAUCAAAACCUCUCACAGAUACAAACAAAAACAAAAACAAAAACUUUCCUUCAUGCGGCUCCGCUCGCUGAACAAUCAAUGGAUUUGUGCUUUUAAUUACACUUAAUACCAAAGUGUUUAUGCAAAGGAAAAGAAGAAACCGAAAGAAAGACGCCUCGAAUUUGUGUGUGCAAUCAACGGAAUGUAAAACGCGGAGUAUGCAGAAAGUACGAGUGCAGCUCAGCAGCAGCAACAUGCAACAGGCACUGCAGCUUGUAAUUUACCGCUAAUUCGAUGUGAAGUGAGACGUCCGACGAUGACGACCAUAUACCGCCCGUACCCGUACCGCUCGUACCGCCCAUACCGCUCAUACCGCCCAUCUCGGUGGCCACUUGGUGGCCACUUGGUGGUCACUUGGCCAGUUUGUUUCCGCCUGUUGCGCUCCGCUGAAAUCACAGGGGCUGCUGCAGGCGUUGCCCAAUGCAGAUUACCGUUGCGCAUGCCCACAAACACAAGUGCACUGAAAAAAACUAGUUUCAAACAAAAAGUUGAAUAUACAAACAUAGGUGCACUUUUUAAGACACAUUUCGACAAAUUUUCUUAGGCAUUAAGAGCAACCAGCCUGUUUAAUAUUAAAUGUGAUAAAACUAUUUUACAAAGCAGGCGUGCUCAGAACUGCAGGCAGUGCCUUUACCGUAAGAAAACACUCGUGGAGUCGAGAAACAAUGACAGUGUAUAGUCGAAGAAAACACAAAACAAAUUGGCGACCAAAAAAAAAGCCCAAUGAAAUUGUUGUUGCCUUGCCUCGGUCUUAUCAGCAAAGAAAAGGGACCGCAAGGAAGAAACGAAAAAUUGUUAGUGCGUCGAAUUGUGCCUAGCAUGCUUAUCUAUUAAGCCAGUGUGCAGUUACAAAAACAAAUGUACGCACAGUGAGCACAUAGGCAUGAGCACCCCUGAUACAAAGUUUUAUCAAAAACAAAUUGAUUAAGUUUAUUGUUCUGAUAGCAGUUAUGAACAUGUUUGUUGAAGAGCUGUUGAUGUUUUUUUUUGAAAAAUAACAAAUUUUGGGAAUAUUAUUUUUCUCUGUGGACAGAAACUAGCCAGGCUUCACUGAACUUGGAGCACUUAAAAGGAACUUUAUAAGUUGUUGUGACUUCUGGAACUGCAAGGGAGCUUUGAAGUUAAUGGAACGUUAAAGAUUUAGGUUCUCACCGCAGCACCGCCACAAUGGGGAUCCACAGGAUGGACGAGAGGAUCAGGAAGAAGGCGACGACGAUGCACCAGUGGGGCCACUCCUGGUUCUCGGAGGCACCCUUGGCCCCGAUCCA